ensembl:lncRNA
AUACAUAUGUCACGAAGUGACUUUGAGGGCGGAACCAAAAGUGAGAGGAGAAGUUCCGCCCGGACCGAAAUGUGUAAGCCCUUGUCACUUCCGGAAACUCCGGACGCCCCAAAUCAAGGGAAAUCUUCAGCAGGUGUGUUCAAUGACGUGGCGAUUGCAGACGGGGCAGUUUGGGAGUAUAAAGAGAGCAUUGAGGAUACAGGAAGGAGUGUUGUUUUGCCUCCCAAGGAACGCCACGAGUGAGACGGAGUGUUUUGGGCGCUGGAGUAGGGCGAAGCAGAUGAGAGCAAUUGUGGAGUCGCUAAGCGAAUUGGAGGAUUUGAAAACGGCUACUGGAACAGGUUUGCCAAAGCGAAGUUUGUGGAAAGAAGUCGUACUCACCCGUGUCUGUUGUAUGAAGGUUCCGCAGGGAAAUAGUGCCAUUGUGGAACAACGAAAACACUUCCGGGCGUCUGUACGAAGCUGGGGAGAGAAAGAGAGCGGGAGAAGAUCAGUAUCACGAAGACUGUGAGUACAUUGGAUUGCUUAUAUCAUUGCUUAUAUCUGGAUUAGAAAGAGAGAGGGAGAAGAUCAGUAUCACGACGACUGUGAGUACAUUGGAUUGCUUAUAUCGUUGUUUAUAUCUGGAUGAGAAAGAGAGCGGGAGAAGAUCAGUAUCACGAAGACUCUUGUUGAGUGGCCCCAUCGUGGAGGACGAGACGAGUGGGUGAGCCGAAGUAGAGUGGGGGUGAAUGGAUGUUAUUUGGCUGUGGCCACACCGUAAAGUUUGGAGCACUUACCGUGCCAGCGACUGUAAACUCCUCCAGGACGAAAUCCGACCGGGCGUGGAGUACCGACCUUAAAAGUCACUGAAGUGUGUGUAGUGCAGUGGGUGAGUCUGUCUUUGACGUGUGUACACCGAAGUUUUGCAGUGCUGUGCCGUGUCCCUGUUGUCUGUACUCGCCCUCCAGGCCGAGAAAAGUUCCUGUUGGAGAGAACGUAGGCUGCCGUGGCGAUGCCCACCUAUCCCACCUACGCCCGCCUAUAACUCCGUUCCCCGUACCUAGCCUGAAGGAGGUGAAGCGUGAAUGCAAAACAAGGGACUUGUGUGUUACCUUGUACUUACCUAGGAGGUCUAUGGGAGUGGAGGAGCUGUCCAGACGCUGGAGAAGAGAAGGGCGCCACGGGAAAUCAAGCCGCUAAGGAAGGACUUAGGAUCAGUCAGGAGAUUGGUGGGAGUUCUGUGAAAGGACGAAAGAGCCCUUUGCCCCCCGUGAUAACUUACCAACGACCUCCAGAUUUCUCAGGCCCAG